rnacentral:lncRNA from 1 species
AUGACAAACACAAAGGGAAAGAGGAGAGGCAUCUGAUACACGUUUUCUAGGCCUUUUAGAAAACAUGGAGUUGUUCCUUUGGCCACAUAUAUGCGGAUCUAUAAGAAAGGUGAUAUUGUCGACAUCAAGGGAAUAGAUACUGUUCAAAAAAGAGUGCCCCACAAGGGUUACCAUGGCAAACUGGAAGAGUCUACAAUGUCACCCAACAUGCUGUUGGCAUUGUUGUAAACAAGUCAAGGGCAAGAUUCUUGCCAAGAGAAUGAAUGUGCGUAUUGAACACAUUAAGCACUCUAAGAGUUGAGAUAGCUUCCCGAAAUGCGUGAAGGAAAAUGAUCAGAAAAAGAAGGAAGCCAAGGAGAAAGGUACCUGGGUUCAACUGAAGUGCCAGCCUGCUCCAUUCAGAGAAGCACGCUUUGUGAGAACCAAUGGAAAGGAACCUGAGCUGUUGGGACCUAUUCCCUAUGAAUUCAUGGCAUAA